AGCAGUAGCCACGGAAUACGUAGGGUGCAAGCGUUAAUCGGAAUUACUGGGCGUAAAGCGUGCGCAGGCGGUUCUAUAAGACAGAUGUGAAAUCCCCGGGCUCAACCUGGGAACUGCAUCUGUGACUGUAGAGCUGGAGUGCGGCAGAGGGGGAUGGAAUUCCGCGUGUAGCAGUGAAAUGCGUAGAUAUGCGGAGGAACACCGAUGGCGAAGGCAAUCCCCUGGGCCUGCACUGACGCUCAUGCACGAAAGCGUGGGGAGCAAACAGGAUUAGAUACCCGUGUAGUCCCUGUCUCUUAUACA
rnacentral:rRNA from 1 species